UCCUCCUGGGCCACUCCCGGAUUGUGAACCAGCUAGAUAGUUAGAGCCAAACUCAUGUAGCUUUAUACCCUGCUUCAGCCACUUAUGAAAAAGGCAGUAUCACGCCAUUUCUCUAAUAAGACUUAGCUUAUUUAUGUGCAAAAAUGGGUUUAAUAAUUCUUUGCAAAGUCAUUGAAGAAAAUUAAAUGAGAUUGUAUAAAUAGGUCCUAAUACCAAGGGCACCUCGUGAUAGGAACCCUUUUUUUUUUCAGGGGAUUGAACUCAGGGGCACUCAACCACUGAGCCAAAUCCCCAGCCCUGUUUUGUAUUUUAUUUAGAAACAGGGUCUCACUGAGUUGCUUUGGGCCUCGUUUUUGCUGAGGCUGUCUUUGAAUUCAGGAUCCUCCUGCCUCAGUCUCCCAAGCUGCUGGGAUUAUAGGUGUGCACCAUGGAGCCCGGCUGGGAAUGCUUUUAUGAUAGCAAUUAUUUUUUAAAAAAUAGCUUAGUGAAACAUGUUCUUAUUUAAAGAUAGGCAGAUAUAUGUUUUGUUGUUUAGUUUUGUUUUGUUUUAGAACUGAGAAUUGAACCCAGGGGCACUUAACCAUGGAGCCAUAUCCCUGGACUUAAUUUUUUUGUUUUGAGACAGGAUUUCACCAAGUUGCUUAGGGCUUCGCUAAAUUCUUGAGGCUGGCUUUGAACUUGUGAUCCUCCUGCCUCAGGCUCCCAAGUGGAUGGGAUUUCAGGCAUGUACCACAGUGCCUGGCCCAGAUAUAUGUUUUAAUCCCUGGUUCGAUCUUCAUAGUCUGAUAUCUACUGAGUAUUCUGAAGUCAAUUUUUUUGAGUCUCCUUCAUGUGCAAAAUGAAGAGGUUCGGAUAACCUAUGAGAUUCUAUGCAAAAGAUUUUAUUUUGAUAUAGUUAUCAUAUCUGGUUGGAAUUUGGGGAUUCUGACUAAAAAGGAAAAGAAAAAGGCACCUUCUAUAGCAGUGAAAUAGCACAUCAUCAUUACUGCCACCUUUAAUGAGCACUGUAUGUGCUAAGCACUGUGACAGAUGCUGGUCCACUCUCUCAUUUACCCCUGGCAGUAGCCAUCAUGAGGUAGGAAUCGUUUUGGCAAAUUUGCGGUAGAGGAAAAUGGGCGGCGAGCUCUUCUAACAGUUGCAAAAAAUAAAUAAAUAAACAAAUCCUAACUUUGCCUUUACUAUAUCUGCACAUUGAGAAAAAAUUUUCCUCCCCUGCCAACCCACAACACCACAUCAUAUGAGUUCCUGCAUGGCUACCCCCAGGGAGAGGUUCCUUAGUUCCAGGGCCAGCUCAGAGCAGAUGGCCCCAUUUCUACUCUUAUAAAGAGCCAGCUCCAGGGAUCUGAGAAAAGAGUUGCAGUCCAAGGUCUCACACUUGACUCUAUGAGUGUGAUUCUGUCUGAAAGCACAUCAGCAUGCUCCCUCCAUCCUUUCCCCUCCACCCUGCAUAUUUGCAGAAUCUGCCAUGCAUGCAUGAUGAAGAGCUAAAGAUACCUGACUGGCUUGCCUGCCGCCCAUUCCUGAUCAGGAGUGAGUCAGUAUUUCUAUCUCCUGGUUUUUAUCUUCUCCCUAGUAUCAAGAGAACGUCUUUUCUCAUCUCCAAAAUAGCAUCUGGUCCAUUUGAAGCAGGCUAGAAGUAGGCUGACUGCCAGCACCCUCGUUUCUUGGCAGAUAGAUGGCAUUCCCCCAUCCAAUUAUCUUGAAGUCUCCUUGCUUCGUGAUGCAGCCAACCCCUCCAUCAGGAGCCAGACCCAGGUAGCCUAAAGUCACCUUGAACAGAUCAAUAGUAAUGAUGGCUACAGAUCUCAUCUUCAAUUCUUGCAUCGCUUCUACUAGGUAGGAAUCUCACUCUUUUUUUAAAAAAAAAAUGGGGAAACAGAGACUCAGAGAAGGGAAGAGGCUUCCCCAAGGUCACACAGCCUGGCACAGAAGAGCUGAGAUUCUCAACUUUAGAAAGAAGAGUUAAACAGUUCCUAAAGGCCGCUUGCUUUUCCUAUAGAUCAUAGCCAAAUGCUUGGAAGGUUCUGGGGAUUAGAGAGCAUUCCAACCCAGGUUCCAGAAAAUAUCCCCUGUGCUCUCUUCAAAUGUGCCUCCAAACAUCUGCUCCAGCUCUUUCCUCAGCUUGGGAUGCCCUUCCCUGUACCUAGCAGUGCAGUGCAUGUUCCAAAAAAGAAACCACAGGUUUCAUGGUUGAUUGAGCUGCUCUGGAAUCCUGACUGUACCAUUUGCAAGUUUGUGAUUUCAGGCAACUUCUCUAGUCCCUCUGAGGUUUUCUUCCACUGUAAAACAGGGCCAUCUGCCUCACAGUGUUGUCAUGACAAUAUAUGAGCUUGAAGGGCCUAGCAUGGUGUCUGACAGUUAGCAGGUGCUUAUGAUUACGCCCUUCCAAAUACAGCUCAGGCACCACCACCUCUAGGAAGCCCUGCCUGAUUGUGCCUCUCUCCUCCAAGCCCUGACAUGUAUUCAUUUAUUUUUUUUCUUAAUUCAUUGAACCAAUAUUUUAAAAAUACAUAAAUAACUCAAUCAUAGUACUCAGCACAUGGUGUUAUAAUUACUGGGUCAUGUUCUAUUUCCCCCAUUAGACGAGGAUCUUUCUGAGGGCAGAGAUUUUUGUCUGAGUCAUCUCUGAAUCUUGAAUGCCUACUCAGGCAUUCAAGGAGGGGCCUGGCAGGAGGGAGGAAGUGAGAAAGCAACAAUAAAUAAAUAAACAAAAGUCAAAACAGAAAGAAAAAGAAACGAGACACAGGACUGCUUGUAAAGACUUGCUCAAAAAAAAAAUUUUUUUUUUUGAAAAGAAAAAGGUAACCCAUCCCUGUAUCCAGGGAGGCUGGAAAGGCACCUGAUCCUUGGGCAGCCUCCCCUGCAAAUGUUUCUCCCAAUUCCCCCAUUGACAGGAGCUGACAAGAGAGGAAUAUCAAUGACCCCCUGAAUAGGAAAUCUCAGAUGAGCCCCGCACCCAGCACCCAGCGUGCAGACAGGCAAGUCUGCAGAAAGGAAAAUUCCAGUUGAACAGCCGAUGGGGAUAGACUGCAGCCCCAGGCCUGGUAACAAACAGUGUGUGGAGCUGUCAGUCGGGGACCAAGCUCCGCCCACCUCCAGCAACUGCGACUGCAGCCCCAGCAACAGCAGGCUUGGCAGAGGUAAGAAAGGACCUGUUGAGGAGAAAGAGCCUGCCCCAGACCUCCCUUGGCAGAACAAGAGGAUGAGGAAGGACCACAGAGGCUCCUCAGACUAACUGGAGAGGGAGAGGAAGCAGCGAAGCCACUGGGAGUCUGAAAAGACUUUUAAUGUCAACCUUGUUCGAAGCAUGUCCGGCACAGACUUCAAAUCCUGCAACUGAAGACGGCAAGAGAAGAAGAAUCAGGACUUCUCCACUCUGCCCUGGCAUCUCCUUCUCCAGGAAUCAGCCCAGGGUCCACACCCAGCCACGGGCUGCUAAACCGGAACUGCUAGUGGCCCUUUUACUACUGUGAGAAAAACGUCAGUCUGAAUUCCUGUUUCUAUUGUGUGAGCACCUGGAUACAGCCAUGCAAGAAGUCAGACUGGCCCUGAACAUCGUGGUUAUGUGAGCCAAUAACCAUUCCUUAUAUCUUACAUUUGUUUGAAUUGGGUUUUAUGUCACUUAUAGUCAAAUGAAUAGCCCAUACAGGACAAGUUCUCUAUAAUAUUUAUUUGUAAGUCCAAUCCUGUCUAUGUAGACCUGGAACUAUUUCACUAGUAAGUGUCAAUUCAUGCAUCAAAUAACUUGCACAUAUAUGGCCCUUUAGAGUGUACUUACGCCUUUCUUAAAUUGUGUGUGUGUGUGUGUGUGUGUGUGUGUGUGUAAAUUGGUAUUGGAGAUGGGAAGGAAACAAAAUGAGAUUGACUGAAGAUUCUACCUACCAGGAGUAUCCAGAUGUUGAUUCUGACCCAGCCAGGACACUUCCACUGGAAGGUGGUUGAUUUUGUGGUCUGGGCCAGUAAUGAACUGGAGCUCACCUGUAUCAGCUGACAAAAUGAUUUGUUAAAUAUUUGGAAAUUUUGUGGUUGGUUGUUGGUAGGUUGAAAUCAGCCAUGAUUAGAGUAUUUGUACCAUGCAUAUUGCCACAUCUACCAAUCGAGGCAAUUUGCCCUCUAGGAGAAUUGGUUCACCAGUAAAUCACAGGCCCUGACAUUGAUUCAACGGGUUCCCAAAUGGUUAGCAAGAGUAACUGCUGAGCAAUAAUAACAACCACCACCAUAUUCCUCUUAAGACCACUUCCCCCACCCCCGGGAUUAAACCUAGGAGUGCUUUCCCACUGAGCCACAUCCCCAGCCUAUUUUAUUUUUUGAGACAGGGUCUCACUAAUUUGCUUAGGGCCUCACUAAAUUGCUGAGGCUAGCCUCAAACUUGUGAUCCUCCUGCCUCAGCCUCUCCAGUCGUUGGGAUGACAGGGAUGUGCCGCUACACCCCACCCUCUUCAGAGCACUUUUUUGACCCUAAUCUCAUCUCGUGCCUCCAGCAGUGUGGAGAAGUAGAAAUUUCUUACCCAUCUCCUUCCAGGUCAGGAAUCCAAAGCCUAGAGAUGUACAGUCUAUGGUCUGAGGCAGAGCUAAGAAAUAAUCUCAGGUCUUUGGACCCUGUGCUCAUGUUGUUUUCCUGACACCCUGUGGGAGGUGAUUGGAAUAUCAAAACGGGGUCUAAACAAGCAAUUUGGUCACCGGGUAUGGGAAAGCUGUUUCUAUAAAAAAGAGCAUUUUAACAAUAUCUUUCGGAGCAGAGGUGGCCAAUUAGCAAAGUGGUCACCCAGGGAUUAGCAAUAAUACUACACAUUCAAUCUGCUGAGAAAACACAGCAUUGCUUCUAAUAAAUUAUAUA